UUUGACAAUUCCAGGCAAAAGACACCAGAGGGCACUACAGGACCACGUUUUGUAAUUUCAGGCGCCAUUUUACCCUUGGAUUUGAACAAUAAUUUCUUAAAAAACUGUUAACCUUCUGAGAUCCGUAUGUGGAUUUAUUUAUUGCUUUCAAUAUCUUAUCGCCACUAAGCUUAACUAGCUAGGCUUGGAAGGUUAUUUUAAAGGACAAUGCCCUAAAAAGGCAGACACAAUUGGGCUUCCUCUUUAUUUUACCUUCCUAUAGAAUGUCGGCAUGUGUAUGAGCGUGUAUGAGCGUGUGUGUGUGUGUGUGUGUGUGUGUGUGUGUGUGUGUGUGUGUUUAGCAAACAUUUAUGAUUGAAGAAACCAUUCAGGGAAUCCAAAAACUAAAAUGCAGGAUUCCACUGCCUCCCCUCCACCCACCCCGCAAAAAAAAAAAAAAAAAAAGAAAAAAAAAAUAAGAAGAAACCCUGCAUUUUAGAUCUUCCUAGAAAUAGCAAGUUGCUCCAGGAAAAGACCAAACCAGGUGAUAAAGGUUUGUGUCACCAUUUCAAAAAGAAUAAAGAAAAGGGCAGUACAGACACUGCAUUAUCA
rnacentral:lncRNA from 1 species